rnacentral:rRNA from 1 species
GACGAACGCUGGCGGCGGGCUUAACACAUGCAAGUCGAACGGAAAGGCCCUGCGUUUGUGGGGUGCUCGAGUGGCGAACGGGUGAGUAACACGUGAGUAACCUGCCCUUGACUUUGGGAUAGCUUCAGGAAACUGGGGCUAAUACCAGAUAGGAGCUCCUGCUGCAUGGUGGGGGUUGGAAAGUUUCGGCGGUUGGGGAUGGACUCGCGGCUUAUCGGCUUGUUGGUGGGGUAGUGGCUUACCAAGGCUUUGACGGGUAGCCGGCCUGAGAGGGUGACCGGCCACAUUGGGACUGAGAUACGGCCCAGACUCCUACGGGAGGCAGCAGUGGGGAAUAUUGCACAAUGGGCGGAAGCCUGAUGCAGCAACGCCGCGUGCGGGAUGACGGCCUUCGGGUUGUAAACCGCUUUCGCCUGUGACGAAGCGUGAGUGACGGUAAUGGGUAAAGAAGCACCGGCUAACUACGUG